UCUGCACCACUCACCAACCUCCGCGCCGGGCCGAGGUCACGCCCGCUUGCCCCCGACGCCCGGGCGGCCACCUCCUCCUGCCAAGGGGUAGCCCGAGACCCGGGCUGGAGAAGGGGGUCCGCGGAGGAGUUGGCAAGGGGACUCACCAGGGCAAUGCCUAGUACAUAAUGCUUCUCAACCAAAAAUAUAAUGCGUAUUGAUUCUGACACCACGGAAGACAAAUUGUCCCAACAUCCAGUGAUGCAAUGCCAUGAACCAAAGAAACAGUAAUCUGAAGAGUAGAAGUCAUAAAAACAAAGAUUGAUCUUAAGGAAAGUCUACAGAAAUCAAAGAGAAAAGCAGGAUUAAAUGAGGAUGGUUAAAAAACAAACCAGAACAACAAGAAAACCCUACA